CUCUGUUCUUUUUAAAUUUGUUUGUUAUCCUGUAUUCUUUGUGUUUUACCAUUCCGUUAUUCUCUAUUCUCAUCUUUUUGGCCUAAUUUUCUCUUUUCUUUUUAAAUUUGUUAUUCUUUUUUUGCCCCACCUACGAUGUCUGUUCGUUCGUCUGUCCCACUUCAGGUUAAAGUCUUGGGGUUAAAGUUUUUGGUCAAGGUAGUUUUUGAUGAGGCUUGAAAGUUAGUACACAUGUUCCUUAUGAUAUGAUCUUUCUAAUUUUAAAGCCAAAUUUCACGGUCCACUAAACAUAGAAAAUGAAAGUGCGAGUUUCAGGUUAAAGUUUU
rnacentral:lncRNA from 1 species